rnacentral:piRNA from 1 species
UAUGAUUCCAUUUCGUCCUCA